rnacentral:lncRNA from 1 species
CUCUGGAUCGCAGCUGUAGGGAAGUCCAGAUUGAUGUUUACAACUGGCUUGCAUCUUCACAUCUGCAAGCCUUGGAUGGUGAUUUCUUCCUCAGCUGCGGUCUGGAUUUGGGCAUGGUAUCAAGGGAGCCCAUAAAAUGUCAGGGGAUAUGCAAGGUAAAAUGAAGUUUGAAGUGUACAUCACACUAUGGAAGGGAAGCAGGAGGAGCCACAGAUUCUAGCUGAAUUCUUCCCUGAGAUAGCGGAGUGAUCAUGUGGGAGGUGGCAUUUGACUUGAAGAUUGCAGCGUGAGUAACUGCCUGACUCAGAAGAGUGGGAGAAGGGCUCUGGACACUUGAGCCUCGGCAGAAGUGUAUGGUAAACCACACUUUGUCUCCCCCUUAUCCUCGAAGGUUUGCUGCAUAUGGUUGGCACACUGUGCACUGGACAAUGGAAUGUGGCUGACCAGGCAUUGGGAGAGAUGGAAAUCCAACCCGCUGAAUGCUCACAACCGUGCAAUCUACCAUUCCCCUCAUGAACGGAUGCCCUUGUCCUACUUACUGCAUGGACUAGCUGCAGUUCUGUGAACAUAAAUAAGAAUUUAGCACUCAUGGACAUUGCCUCAAUGGAUCAACACAACAGCCUAAUAAGCUGAGUCUUAUUUCCCAGAUGAAGAAAUUGAAGAUUAUAGGAGUUAAGUGACUUGCUACAAUUUGGAAGCUAGUGAGUCCAGGUGUUACAGGUAUGAGAGGGGCAGGAGAGGGCUCUCCCCUCAGCCCACUACAAAGUCAGGUGAUGGUUCAGCAAUUACUGCAUUUCCUCUCUAAAAGUGAUAAAUUGGUAGCCAGUGCCAGGGGAGAGGCCAGUUCCUGAUGGUCCACACCUCCUAACAUUAAAGGGUUAAUUAAAGGCAGACCCCAGGGAGGAAAAACAUUGACAAAAAUGGCGAAUUAUGAUCUUUGGGGUACAUGCCACUGGAAAAAGGGAAAAAAGCCUCACAUGGCAAUAUAACGCCACAAACACACUGCAUAUGCUCACUUCCCAAGGGUAAGGAAAGCGCUGCCUAUGCGGGAUGCCCAACCUAAGGGAAGACUCAUGGGAAAGAGAUGAGCCUAUAAAGUCCUAGGACCAAGGCCUCCUUUUUGCUGUCUUCUCGUCUCUCUUGGACCUUCAGGCGCCCCGCUUGGGUUUGUUCCAAGUGAAUUUUCCUUUUUUGCCUGUUCUAAAGCUUUUUAAAUAAAUUUCCACUCCUGCUCUGAAACUUGCCUUGGUCUCUUUUUCUGCUUGAUGCCCCUCAGUCCAAUUAUAUCUUCUGAGGAGGCAAGGACUGAAGAUGCUAUGGACCCGCACAGAUAUGCUGCUGAUAACUCGGGGUAAUACAGGCUCUUCCACUGCUAACACAGGGAACUAGGAUCUAACCCUGAAUGACUCUUCAAGCAAACAAGGCCAGAGUGAGAUUGAAAUGUAUUGGCGAUCUCCGAAAAACAAAAGCAAAAACAAAAUCUGUCUCUAUCCGUAUAUAUAUUUAUAUAUAUAUAUAUACACACAUACCUAUGUAUAGUAUAUAUGUAUACAUUCAUAUUCAAAACAUUCAAUUUUAUUAAUCUUGAAUUCAACCCAUUAUAUUUAUAUAUACACAUUUUUUCUAUAACUGCAUUUCUGUGCCUACUCUAAAAUCCAUUUUAAAAGAUCUGAAUAAUUCAAACAUUUCUGUAAAUUACACUUCCCUAAAAUCUAUACUUAUAAAAUUUUUUGCAGAAAAAUAUAGCCCAAUUAUUUUUUCUUUUUCUUGAAUACUUAUGUCAUAUACUGUUUCUUACAAUGUGCUGAUACUUUCAUGCAUUUUAAGAUUAAUAUUAAUAAGGCAGUCUCAAAUGUACUUUGCCCCUCUACACCCUUAAUUGUUGAUUUGUCUUCACUUGAAUAGUCACAGAGGGUUUUUAUUCAUUAGCUUUAAUGUUCAUUACUGGCCACUGAAACAAAAUAGAUUUUACUUUAUUUAAAUAAAUUAGGAUUUUGUAUUUUGAGAUUUUUCUGUAUUCAUUUUAUGAUGCUCAAAUACUUUUUCUUAUUAUGUAAGGAGUAUUGUAUAUUCUGGUUUUUGCCAUUUCUCAUUACUUAAGGAAAGGAUUUUCAUUGCUAACAUAGAGAAAAUGUUUAUAGAUGUGAUAGAAAUAAUGAUCAUAAGGUUACCUUGUAAGAACAUAAAUUCCACCCAGAGAUCCAUAAACACCUCAUUAAUAUUACUAAUACAAUUACGUACAGUUUUCACACCCAGAAAACCAUCUAGAUUAAAAUGCAAUCAUCUUAAUAUAGCAAUAUUAUCGAUUUGCAUUAACUGCAUUAAAGUUGCAUAAAUACAUGAAACCACAUCUUUAACUCAUUUCUUGUGUAAAAGGUUUAGAAGUAUCCCAAGCUUGAAGGAAAAUAAUAAAUACUGAAGAAUUAUUCCUUAAAUAUUUUUCUACUUCAUAUCACCCUUAUUUUUAAAGGGCUUUAAUUUUUUAUUUAAUUAUCUAAAUAUCUUGAAUUAUCAAAAGCACAUCUUUUUCCCAUUUUUGUUUUUCUAUAUACUAUGUAUUUAAAAGAGCUAUUUCAUGGUCACUGUUACCAAACACGCUAAUCAGCCAUGUUCUUUUGUAGCACUAUUUUCCUAGCAUUAUUUUCUUCCU